UACGUAGGUGGCGAGCGUUGUCCGGAUUUACUGGGCGUAAAGAGCGCGCAGGCGGCUGGUCAAGUCCGAUGUGAAAGCUCCCGGCUUAACUGGGAAAUUGCAUCGGAAACUGAUCGGCUGGAAGGUGGGAGAGGGUAGCGGAAUUCCCGGUGUAGUGGUGAAAUGCGUAGAUAUCGAGAGGAACACCGGUGGCGAAGGCGGCCAACUGGACAGAUACUGACGCUGAGACACGAAAGCGUGGGGAGCAAACAGG
rnacentral:rRNA from 1 species